CUAAAAUGAAAGUUAAAUUCAUUAGACUACAGAAAAAAAGUAUAAGAUUACACACAUCAGUCAUAAGUGUCCAACAAGUGACCGAUAAAACAAGGUGUGCUUAUCCCUUGUCACCGAAUACCAGUUCUUGAGAGACAAAACUGGAAGAGAAUAUGUAAGUAAGGAACCACAAGAUUUCAUCAAGGGUCCAACAGAUAACCAGUUCAGUGGUACCAAAUACACCCAACCCGGUUCUACCGGUGCAGAUUCAAUCCUGGAGAUAAUGAUGGAAGGUG